UUUCUACUCCCUCCGUUCGAAAAUACAAGCCAUCAAAAUGGAUAAAAAGAGAUGUAUCUAAAACUAAAAUAUGUCUAGAUACAUUUCCUUUUAUCUAUUUUGAUGACAAGUAUUUCCGGAUGGAGGGAUUAUUUG
rfam:Triticum urartu cultivar G1812 contig668974, whole genome shotgun sequence.